GAUGAACGCUGGCGGCGUGCCUAAUACAUGCAAGUCGAGCGAACAGACGAGGAGCUUGCUCCUCUGACGUUAGCGGCGGACGGGUGAGUAACACGUGGAUAACCUACCUAUAAGACUGGGAUAACUUCGGGAAACCGGAGCUAAUACCGGAUAAUAUAUUGAACCGCAUGGUUCAAUAGUGAAAGACGGUUUUGCUGUCACUUAUAGAUGGAUCCGCGCCGCAUUAGCUAGUUGGUAAGGUAACGGCUUACCAAGGCAACGAUGCGUAGCCGACCUGAGAGGGUGAUCGGCCACACUGGAACUGAGACACGGUCCAGACUCCUACGGGAGGCAGCAGUAGGGAAUCUUCCGCAAUGGGCGAAAGCCUGACGGAGCAACGCCGCGUGAGAUGAAGGUCUUCGGAUCGUAAAACUCUGUUAUUAGGGAAGAACAAAUGUGUAAGUAACUAUGCACGUCUUGACGGUACCUAAUCAGAAAGCCACGGCUAACUACGUG
rnacentral:rRNA from 1 species